ACUUCCCACAAUGCAACACGGUGACCCCUAACGUACCUUAAACUGCUGCAAAAGAGACGUUUCUCCUGGUGUCUUGUGGGCGUGACGGUGCGAUCCCUCUCAGGCUUCUGAGUCUCUGCUGGAGUCAGAAGUUUUGGGCGAAUCCCAGGCGCUCCAAGAGAAAUGCUACACCAUCCAUCCAUCUUGCAGGCGUUGCUGCCCAGGCGCAACGCUGAGAAGGCAAAUACUAAAGGGCGCUGUCCUUUCCUCGUGGAGCUCACAGUCCGCUGGGGAGACCGUGAGAUGACAGCGGAGAAACUAGGGCGAUCAAUAGUACUCAGUGCAAGGAGAGCGAGCAGAGAAGGCAGACUUAAUGCUUGCUGAGGAAGACUUCACAGAGGAGGUAGUGUCAGGGCUGAGACUAGAAGAAGGAUUAUAAGUGACUAGAGUUUACUUUAUCCUUCUCGUUAACUAAAACUAAUUUACCUCUCACCUUUCCUCCUAUUGUCAUCCCACCCCUGUCGAGGCAAUCACACCUUAAAAAAUAAAGGAGAGGUUAUUCCUGCUUUUGCCGUGCUGUGAUCCAGGGCAGAGUUUCUUGUCAACCAGUAAAACAUCCAGUAACACAGCCAAUGGAAAUAAAUGAAUGGGUCUCUGUUUAUGGUGAAGAUUCUUUCAUUCUCCAGCUGCAGACUUGAUAUGGUGAAACUCUCUGGGAAGGAAAGGAACUCAAGAGUCCCAUACGGAAAAUUGUUCAGCUGGAGGGGUAUCAGAAAGAUGGAUUUCCAAAGCCAACUGUUUCCUGUAGUGUGUGGAUCUCUGCAAGCAGAGCCUCAUCUUUCAAUUUCAGCUACAUGAAAGAGAAAGAAAUGGAAAUAUAUAUGUCAUACGUGAUAUACUUUAUGUGGCUUUGAAGACCCCGCUUUUGUGGGGCUACAGCUAAAGAACAUAGUUCCCGGGGAUGGAAUUGGCUCUUCCUCUUUCCCUCCUUCGUGAAAACUCCAGUAGAAGACCUUAGAACCUUGUCCUGGUUACAUGGAUAUGUUUACUUUGUGAAAAUUCAUCAAGCACUUUGAACAGUCAUGAUUUGUACAUUUUUUUGUAAGAUAACUUCAUUAAAGUCUACUUUUUUAUUUUUAAAAA